CUCUUAAUGGCCGAGAGUAUAGGCAGCAGAUUUUUAAUCUGUUAACGAGGUCUUCUCUUAAGAGU
rnacentral:tRNA from 1 species